CGUGCAGACUAAGACCUUCGAGGUCUACGAUUUUUGAGUCAUGACACCUGAAUGUGAACGCCAGCAUUAUGCACUGUCGGAAGUGGUUAAGUAAUCAGUAAACAGGUUUAUAGCUGUAGUGCCACUUCCUCAAAAAGCUCUUAAAUCAUUGUCGAGGCAAACUUUAC
rfam:Tolypothrix bouteillei VB521301 scaffold_2, whole genome shotgun sequence.